rnacentral:rRNA from 1 species
UGAACGCUGGCGGCGUGCUUAACACAUGCAAGUCGAACGGGGCCACCAUUUUUGAAGCGAUUAGCUUGCUAAGAGUGGAAAUGUUGGCGGCUUAGUGGCGGACGGGUGAGUAACGCGUGGGUAACCUGCCAUAUACAGGGGGAUAACACUUAGAAAUAGGUGCUAAUACCGCAUAAGCGCACGGGGCUGCAUGGCCCAGUGUGAAAAACUCCGGUGGUAUAAGAUGGACCCGCGUCUGAUUAGCUUGUUGGCGGGGUAACGGCCCACCAAGGCGACGAUCAGUAGCCGGCCUGAGAGGGUGGACGGCCACAUUGGGACUGAGACACGGCCCAAACUCCUACGGGAGGCAGCAGUGGGGAAUAUUGGACAAUGGGGGGAACCCUGAUCCAGCGACGCCGCGUGAGUGAAGAAGUAUUUCGGUAUGUAAAGCUCUAUCAGCAGGGAAGAAAGAAAUGACGGUACCUGACUAAGAAGCCCCGGCUAACUACGUGCCAGCAGCCGCGGUAAUACGUAGGGGGCAAGCGUUAUCCGGAUUUACUGGGUGUAAAGGGAGCGUAGACGGUUAUGCAAGUCUGGAGUGAAAGGCGGGGGCCCAACCCCCGGACUGCUUUGGAAACUGUGUAACUGGAGUGCAGGAGAGGUAAGUGGAAUUCCUAGUGUAGCGGUGAAAUGCGUAGAUAUUAGGAGGAACA